GGGGAUAGGAGGUAGAACAUUAUUUCCAUGUUGGGUGUGACUGAACUGGGGUAGUUUUCCUUCCACAGAUUACUGGAUUCUUUCCGGGGAUGUUUUUCUUUGACGUUGAUGCCAUUUUGAAGUCUUUUGACUGAAUGCAGGCUAACAAGGGUUCACAUUCGGUGCUGUAAACAGUCCUGUUCCACGGCAACAAGAAGGGAAAAAAGGACACAUUUCUUGGGAAGCGGCAAUAAAAAUGUUUUCUAUACAAAUCGAAUGGCACGAGAGGUGGUCCAAAUGCUAAAUGUCCCACCACAAAUGGAGAAUGAAGAAUCUGUUCCAAACACGCACGUGAAGAGAGGAAAGCAGAAUCAUUGGCUUAAAGCUGCAAUAUAUUACAAGGUGAUACCAUUGAAACAUUUGGGCAGGGAAUCUCAAAUGAAUGUUUGUAGGGCGGAACAUUUCGAAAUCCUUUAAAAGAAGGAUUACCUCCUGUUGAGAUCCCAACUUGACUGCUAGAUGGCCGGCACAUUCUCAAAUGCAGGGACCCACAAAUGAAGGCACAGCUCACUAGCCAGCCAUUAUCUGUGGUUGCCACCAAUCCCCUC